AAUGUGAGUAUCAACAGCAUCUUUGAAUCUGUUGUCAGAGGCACUGAACUCUAUCAGCUCCUAUAACCUGAUGACUUAAUUGGCUUACAGGCUGUUGAAUAGUGAAUGAGGAACUGAGUUAUAUUUCUGUGACCUGGAUAACUGAACUUGACAAUGUGUGCACAAAGAACAGACUUGACAACACACGUUUCACCAUCCUUCCGUGAUGUUCUACAUAUGCAUCUACAUCCUUUGUUUAAAUAUUUACAUACUGUCUGCUGGUUUAAGUAUGUUCACUCAAAACAAUUAAAAUCCAAAUCUUUAUGUAUCAUCUUGUUUUAAGUAUAAUUAGCAGACAGUUUUUUCCCCCACCAGGGGGCGCUGUGCAGAGAGUGUAGGCCUUCUGGGCAGCUGAUAGUCCAUCAUUAGGUAACUGCAGUUAACCUUGACAAACUGUCCAUGCCUGUAUGUCUAUUCUAUAAUGACUGGCAAUAUGCCCGUAAUUUGGGUGUGCCAGCAUGUCUAAAGAUUUUCAACCCAGUGAGAUCCGAGAUUGUGGCCGAACUAGCUAUGAAAGGUAUGCUAUGUUUACAUUCAGAUAUAUAUUUUAAGCAGACACUAUCUUAACAAUGCAAUUUACAAAGUUGCGUUCUGUUCCAGGUAUUUGUGUUGGUUGGUAAACUUUACGGUCCAUGCAGUACUGCACAGAAACAGUGCUAGAGACAAACAAAACCAUACUAAACUACUAAGGCAGGUAAACCAAGGGAGAGAUUACAGCAAGCAUUAAGGAAACCAUUUUGGACCCAUCUCUGACUGGUUCAGACUUUGACACUUUCAAUAACAGAAACCAAAAUGACCUCUGCAUGGAGAGAUACUGGCAGGAUUAUGUUUUUGUCAAUUUAAUUAAAACUAAUCCCAGCGAUUCCGAAUGAUUAAAAACUCUGGUUUCCAAUAAAUCAUUCAGUUAAAUCAAUGCCAGGUAUGGGGCUGCUGAUGGCAAAAGACUGAGCUUUUUGGUCUCAGAUGAACUGGCAUGGCAUUCACGCCCGAAACUCCUGUUUGUUCAGAGGAGCAGCAGCCGUGCUAGCCUGGCACGGCAUCACAUUCCUUCAUAACUGGCUCAUUCUGGACUGGGCCCAAUAUAAAGUAAAUUUGAACAUAGAAGUACCUUUUCACAGGUGUUAAGACUGAUACAGCAGCCAGUUCAGAUGGGUUCUCCUGAAAGGAUUCAACUAAAUGUAAACCUCUCAGAAAUGCCAUAAUGGAAUUAUGGGAAUCGGUGGUUUGACCUGCAUUGUUUUGAGUGGUACAGACUCCAAAACAACAUUGUGGAAGACUCUUAGAGAUGUUUACAACGAAGUUCAAGGUUCAGGGAUGGAGAGCUUCUCUAUGGGACGAGGACGGCCUCUGUCUGCUACAUCCCCUGGUGGAUGGCGACAGCUUCUCUGGCUUUGGGCUCCAGGCUACAAGCCCCCCGUUCCCUCGCUCGCCACCUUCUCCCCAGCAUAGCGGAUGGCACCAGGCUCUGGCCUUAGGCGAACAGGGUUAACUCCUCCAUCUCCUCACGGAUGGCAGAUGUCCCUCUAGAACCCAGGCGGACGGCAGUGAGUUUAUCCAUCUCCCCGGCAAGUCACUCCAGCACCAACACCUCGGGUAGCCACUGGCGGUAACCGCUACUUUGUGCUACCAGACCCUCUCAGUACCACGAUCCCCCUCAGUUGGACUUUCUGGAAGCAUAUCCCUCCUUCCUCCUGGUUAUUGGUACUGAUGUUCAGGGAAGGAGGAGGUGGGAACCAGCAAACAAUCAAUGUAAACUUUAAUCACAAAAUAAGCCCCUACAACCCCCCGCCGCAUAAACUAAAACAAAACAAAACAACAACAUAAAGGCCUAGGCCUGGUCCUCUCUCGUCUUGCACUGUUGUCACUUUUUCUUUUAUCCUUCUGGAGCUCCUCCGUAGGACUCGAGACCAGUGUGGCACACAGGUGAUGUUCAUUAACACUCAUGCUACCGGCCUCACUUUGCUCCCACGUCUCUUGGCCCCGCCCUGCUCGCCACAGUGUUAUUGGAAAAU